UACAGAGGUCUCAAGCGUUGUUCGGAUUCAUUGGGCGUAAAGGGUGUGUAGGUGGCGCGCUAAGUCGGGUGUGAAAUUUCGGAGCUUAACUCCGAAACUGCAUUCGAUACUGGCGUGCUUGAGGACUGGAGAGGAGACUGGAAUUCAUGGUGUAGCAGUGAAAUGCGUAGAUAUCUGGAGGAACACCGGUGGCGAAGGCGGCAUCCUGGACCAACACUGACACUGAGGAGCGAAAGCCAGGGGAGCAAACGGG
rnacentral:rRNA from 1 species